rnacentral:rRNA from 1 species
GUUAAAACGCUCGUAGUUGAAUAUUUGUCGAAGAAUACUGAUCCACCCAAGUGGUGCGUACUCGGUGUACCUUCGUCACCUUUACCGGGGAGAGCAUUUCCACUUCGUUGUGGGUGUGCAAGAUCCGGAACUUUUACUUUGAGGAAAUAAGAGUGUUUCAAGCAGGCAUUGCCAUGAAUACGUUAGCAUGGAAUAAUAGCAUAGGACCCGGUGUCGUAUCUGUUGGUUCACGGCGCUGGGUAAUAACAAGAGGGAUAGUUGGGGGCAUUCGUACUGCAAAGUCAGAGGUGAAAUUCUUGGAUUUUUGCAAGACGGACUAGUGCGAAAGCAUUUGCCAAGGAUGUUUUUAUUAAUCAAGAACGAAAGUUAGGGGAUCGAAGACGAUCAGAUACCGUCGUAGUCUUAACCAUAAACUAUGCCAACUAGGGAUUGGAGGGUGUUAUCAUAUGACUCCUUCAGCAGCUUGAGAGAAAUCAAAGUUUUUGGGUUCCGGGGGGAGUAUGGUCGCAAGGCUGAAACUUAAAGGAAUUGACGGAAGGGCACCACCAGGAGUGGAGCCUGCGGCUUAAUUUGACUCAACACGGGAAAACUUACCAGGUCCAGACAUAGGAAGGAUUGACAGAUUGAUAGCUCUUUCUUGAUUUUAUGGGUGGUGGUGCAUGGCCGUUCUUAGUUGGUGGAGUGAUUUGUCUGGUUAAUUCCGAUAA